GCCGGCUUAGCACAGUGGUAGUGCGUCGCACUUGUAGCAGCCCUUUGUUGCGCAAUGCGAAGGUCGGUUGUUCAAUCCAGCCAGUCGGCA